UACGUAGGUGUCAAGCGUUGUCCGGAUUUACUGGGCGUAAAGAGCGCGCAGGCGGUCGUUCAAGUCGAGUGUGAAAGCCCCCGGCUCAACUGGGGAGGGUCACUCGAUACUGAUCGACUUGAAGGCAGGAGAGGGAAGCGGAAUUCCCGGUGUAGUGGUGAAAUGCGUAGAUAUCGGGAGGAACACCAGUGGCGAAGGCGGCUUCCUGGCCUGUUCUUGACGCUGAGGAGCGAAAGCGUGGGGAGCGAACAGG
rnacentral:rRNA from 1 species